GGGUUCAGUUCUCCGUCCAUCGAGGACUCUAUGGCGAUGGUCGGCGUGGCGCUGGUGCUUUAUGGGCUCAUCAAGUUUGUCUCGUGGACGUUUACCAGCUCAGGCUCAGCUGAGGCUGAUAAACAAGAUAAGAAAGAGAAGUGAAGGUGAAAGAAGGCGACUGACCAUCAGUGACAUUGAUCCACUCGAUAUGUUUGAUGGGAUUUCAGGAGGGGCUUUCCACAUGUUCAUGGGACAGAUUAUUUCUUUUUCUUUUCUUUUUUUACUGCUCUGGUUUGGAGGUAAACUUGUAUGUUUUAUGCUUGUUUUUAGCAAAUUUGUUUAUUAUAAAAUGUUUGGAUUCAAAUUUUUGUUCUUUAGAAAGGAACGGGGAUAUCUCGAAGAAGCUCAGUUCAAACACGUUUCUUGUGAUGUUUCUUUAAUCUUUCUUUAUAGAGCUGCGUGGUUUUGCCUUCCUCUGUUUAUGGUUUAUAUGUCGUCACAAACACUGGAAAGUUGGGAGUGAUGUGUUGAAACAUCAGCUUCUGUUUUUUAAAGGUUAAUCCUUCCAUUCGAUGUUCCCCUCAGUCUAAAAACCUUAUUAACUCACGCUUUUUGGAACCAGAGAUCGGACUGUAUUUGUUGGUUUAUAAAGAAAAGGAAAUGCUGUUUUAAUUAAGUAAAAAUAAUUAGACUAAUAAUAGACUCAUUAUUUUAAAA